rnacentral:rRNA from 1 species
CCUACGGGAGGCAGCAGUGGGGAAUAUUGCACAAUGGGGGAAACCCUGAUGCAGCGACGCCGCGUGAGUGAAGAAGUAAUUCGUUAUGUAAAGCUCUAUCAGCAGGGAAGAAACAGACGGUACCUGAGUAAGAAGCCACGGCUAACUACGUGCCAGCAGCCGCGGUAAUACGUAGGGGGCAAGCGUUAUCCGGAUUUACUGGGUGUAAAGGGAGCGUAGACGGCGAAGAAAGUCUGAAGUGAAAGCCCGCGGCUUAACCGCGGAACUGCUUUGGAAACUUUUAUGCUGGAGUACCGGAGAGGUAAGCGGAAUUCGUGGUGUAGCGGUGAAAUGCGUAGAUAUUAGGAGGAACACC